GACGAACGCUGGCGGCGUGCUUAACACAUGCAAGUCGAACGAUGAAGCUGGAGCUUGCUCCGGUGGAUUAGUGGCGAACGGGUGAGUAACACGUGAGCAAUCUGCCCUUGACUCUGGGAUAACUGCGGGAAACUGUAGCUAAUACCGGAUACGAGGCUCGAAGGCAUCUUCGGGUCUGGAAAGAAUUUCGGUCAAGGAUGAGCUCGCGGCCUAUCAGCUUGUUGGUGAGGUAAUGGCUCACCAAGGCGACGACGGGUAGCCGGCCUGAGAGGGUGACCGGCCACACUGGGACUGAGACACGGCCCAGACUCCUACGGGAGGCAGCAGUGGGGAAUAUUGCACCAUGGGCGAAAGCCUGAUGCAGCAACGCCGCGUGAGGGAUGAAGGCCUUCGGGUUGUAAACCUCUUUUAGCAGGGAAGAAGCGAAAGUGACGGUAUCUGCAGAAAAAGCACCGGCUAACUACGUGCCAGCCGCCGCAGUAA
rnacentral:rRNA from 1 species